rnacentral:rRNA from 1 species
GCAAGGAAUAGUAGGCAAUGGGCGAAAGCCUGACCUCGCGACGCCGCGUGAAGGAUGAAGGCCUUCGGGUCGUAAACUUCUUUUCUCGGGGAUGAAUAAUGACAGUACCCGGGGAAUAAGUCACGGCUAACUACGUGCCAGCAGCCGCGGUAAGACGUAGGUGGCUAGCGUUAUCCGGAUUUACUGGGCGUAAAGCGUGCGCAGGCGGCCUUUCAAGUCAGGUGUAAAAUCUCCCGGCUCAACUGGGAGGGACCAUCUGAUACUGUUGGGCUAGAGUACAGCAGAGGAAAGUGGAAUUCCCGGUGUAGUGGUGGAAUGCGUAGAUAUCGGGAGGAACACCAGUGGCGAAAGCGGCUUUCUGGGCUGUUACUGACGCUGGAGCACGAAAGCGUGGGGAGCAAACAGGAUUAGAUACCCGAGUAGUCC